CUUGGAUUUUAGUGACCUCCACAUUCUGGGCCGCAGACUGGCUCCCAUUUCCUUACGAGUUCCUACCUUUCCUCACCCGGGAGAGCAGUUGAGAGUGCGAAUAUGGUCAAAGGAUCUGCGUUUUUACCUCUAUCCUGAAUACCAGGACUGAAGACAGGUCGGAGAGGACCAGAGGAAGAACUAGAAAAAGAGAAGGUAUAGAUAUGGGAUCUGGCAGUCACAUUGUAAAAGGAAAUAUCUCCAGCUUCAAAGUCCAUGAAAAUUCCCACACAUCUUGGGGGUUCCUUCAGAGAAAGAGGAGUGGGUGGAAUGGUGGAGGCACUGUAUUCAUUCUUUUUCAUCAUCAUUACUAACCAAUACCCAUUUCCUGGUGAAAAGGCUGUGCUCCCCUUCCUGUUCACAGAAUUUUUGCAAACUCCCAAUAUCCAGCUAGUCUUAUCUCCCACGUCUACCUGCCAAUACUGUUUCCCUGAGGUAAAACUUGGAUAUCCCAGAACAAUGACAGAAUCAUUAAAUCUUUGUGGGCCAUCAAACACCUUUCCACACUUCUUCCCAAGUCUCACAUGUUUCCGAUCAUCAGAUAUAAUAAGUUUGGGGUGAGCUGUUUCAGGGUCCAGAGUCACAUUAGCUGCAAUGAAAAUCCAAACAACCAGUGAGAAGUUAAUUGUAUCUCCACUCUCUAUCAGAUAAAUUCUGGGCAAAGGUAAGACUGUGGGAAGCAAAGCUGGAAGCUCACCUGGGUAUAGUAAUAUUUAAGGGAAUAUGUGGAAGAAUUAUAUAAAAUAUGGAUUAUGUAUUUUUAUAAUCAUGCAUAUAUAUGUGUUUGUGUAUGUAUGUAUAUCUAUAUAUAACUAAAAGAAAAUUCUUUCCUCCUUGGACCACAUGUUUAUUUUGUAUAGCUUCUCCUACUAUCAAUGCUGCUGCCUCUAGUCUAUAGUUUUAUGUCCUGCAAAGUAAGCUUAAAGAAUGUAUUGGACAGUUUACUGUAACUCAGAGGCUGCUUAUGAAAAUUUCAAACUUUGCCUAAGGUGCAUAUAUGCCUUUUCCAGACUCUGGAACUGGUAACUGUUCUUCUGAGGCCUCAGGGUAAAGAAUAGGAGACCACUUGGUUAGGUUUUCUACCACUCUGAAAAUUUCUGAUCUUAGCCACUUACCUGAAUAUAACUGGACCUCUCUCAGCUGUAAAACUGAAAAGACAAAAAAAAAAAGAGGAGAAAGAAUUUGAGUGAAUAAGCUAAGAUCAACCUCUCUUUCCUGACCUCUGCAGUGAAACAUGGAACUUAAUGAGUUUUAGGAAGCUCCCCAGGACAGUGAUUUCUCAAGAUUUCAUGAGUCCUUACAAUUGAUAUAUGCCUUUCUCUUCCCUGGAUUUAGCCUGACUUUUUGAUCUGGGCCUAGAAUGGGAGCCAACUAAGGAAGGGAAAAAUUUGGAAAAAUAGAAAAUAGAAAAAAAAAUUAUCACAUUUUCUGAAAUGACAAAGGUAUCAGGAGAAAACUCAUAAAACCUAAUCAAGUAACUGGGAGAAAGAGGUUCAUGGCUCAAGGUUAGGGGAAUCCAAAAGAGACGCUUGUAUAGGUAAGCUUUGGGGGAUUUCUCCUGGGAAACAGUCCUCUUUCUUCCUCAGUUUCUCUCUUUAGAUAAUCACAGAAAUUGGCAUUCUUGAAACAAUAUGAAACUAUUCCCUCCCUCCUUGUAUUAGCAAACCCAGACACUCACUUUUGAAUGUUUCCAUUUCUGAUUGCAGACUCGCUAGGAGAAAAAAAGGAAUGAGAUGAAUUUUUGACCUCUUUCUGGGGAGAUUUCAAGUGAAAGUUAAUACUAGUGUUAAAAAAUGAAAGGGAAAAAGGGACUGAAACAAAGAUAGGGAAUUUUGCUGCCUGAUCCAGGGAUGAGAUGACUAAGCUGUGUUUCCAGUUUCUCUAUAUACCAAGUUUUUAUAUACAAACCUAUGAACUGCCUCAUGCUUCUCUCCACACUCUGUGAUUUCCAGAAGAGAAGGUGGGUUUUCUCUUUCAACUCAGGAGACAGAGCCCACUCCUCAGGAAGAAACGCCCAUUCUGCCCUGCAGAUUCCACAGACAACAAAAAAUGGUGAAUGUCACAGUGAAAGCAAAGCUGGGGACAAAGCUUUGAUCUUACUUCCUAGAUUUCCUAUAGGAGUGGAGGCCAGGGAAAUUCCCAGUUGACCUCUAAGUAGGGAAUCAGACCAGAGCUAAUUCUCAAUCCACCUAAUACUAAUAUUAGGCAAAUGCCACAUUUUGGCCUCAUUCUAACCUCUAUUAGAGGACUCUUUUCUUUCUAGGUGAGGGCCUUAGGAAAAGGGAAAUAAUUUUCUUUUUACUUUAUAAAAAUCUUAUCUUUUAUAAUCUCUUAUUACAUCUCUUCAUUUCUCCAUCCUGAUCAGUCCCCAAGUCUUUGGGUCCCAUUAAUCCAAGCAGCUAGAUGGCUCAGUGGAUAGAGAACCAGUUGUGGAGGUCCUAGGUUCAAAUGUGACUUCAGAUACUUCCUAGCUGUGUGACCCUGAGCAAGUCACUUAAUCCUAACUGCCUUAGAACCAAUUCUAAGACAUAAAGUAAGGGUUAGAAAAAAAGAAAUUGUAUGAGUGAUAUUUAUGAGAUCAGAUUGUUACCUUGUCUCAGGAGGUAGAAUUCAUCUUGUUUUUUACCAAUAUUUUGUGCAAAUAUAGAAUAAUGUUAAAUCUGGAGAGGACUUUAAGAAUCUAGUGCAUCUCCCUCAUUCUAUAGAUAAAGAAAUUGACCCUCAGAGAUAUUAAAUUACUUUACUAGAGUCAUAUAGAAAGUAAAUUGCAUAACCAAGACUCAAAUCCCAGUCCUCUGACUUGAAUGCUCUUUCUACUAGGGUAGAAUCGUAGUUAAGAUUUUGAAAGAGACAUCAGACAUGUUUGACAUUGCUUACUUGUAACAAGGUAGGAUGGGAUUCUGAGGACAAUAAUUGUUGGGGGGGGGGGGGAGUUUAAACCUUCCAUCUUAGAAUCAAUACUGUGCAUUGAUUCCAAGGCAGAAGAGUGGUAAGGGCUUGGCAAUGGGGGUUAAGUGACUUUCCCAGGGUCACACAGCUAGGAAGUGUCUGAGGCCAGAUUUGAACCCAAGACCUUCCGUCUCUAGGCCUGGCUCUCAAUCCACUGAGAUACCCAGCUGCUCCCACAAUGAUGUUUUUUUUUUAAAGAAAAGAGCAUUAAUAAAAUAGUUUUUAAAUCAGGAAAGAAAUUCAGAGAUCCUCUAGUUCUAACCUUGAAUAAGGUUAAUUGCUUUGAAUAAAGCAUGAAUCCUACCUAUAACUUCACCAAUGACAGUACUUUGUUUUCCUCUCUUGUCAGUGCUAAGUCCCUGGGGAUCUUCCCCUCUGAGCAUUCUAUCCAUCAAUUUUAAGAGCCCAUUUGAAAAUCGCCUGCUCUGGGAAACCUUCCUUGAUACUCAAUUCAGAAGUCAUCUUUCCUGAUCUCACAAUACUUGUUACUUCUCUUAUGUACUUAUCAGAUUUUUAUUUGUAUAUUUACCUGUGCAGGUGUUUAAUCUUCACUGCUAGAUGAUAAGUUCCCUGAGGGCAGGUUUCAUGCCUUAUUUAUCCUUCUAUUUCCUCCAACACCCAACACUAUGCUAACACUGGCAUUUCAUGAAUGUUUUUGUAGGAUGAAUGACAGAAGCUCCAGAGUUAAGGCAGGAUAAUCAUAGGGCAUACAGGUCUGGAAUUUCUGCUUCCAUGGAUUAGGAAGGACACAACUAGAUAAAAGAGUAGCUGUCCCUACAACUGAGACUAGGGGGAAUGGCCACGAACAGAUGAUGUGGUCUUCUCCUUUCCUGAGCAAGUAAUCUCUCUUCCCCAGGAGGAAUUAUUUAGAUCAAGCUGUAAAUUCAAAGAAAUACCUCCCCAUUUGUAAAGCAGGAAAAAUAAGAAAUCCCCAAAGCAAGUGGGAUCUAGAAUAAAGAGUGCUAUGCUAUAGGGUCUGGGAAGCUAGGUCUGCAAUUUGUGUGGGGGGGGGGUAUGUGUGUGUAUUUUGAGCUGUGCAAAUACCUCAUCAGGGUGACUCUGAUGUCCUAGGAGAAAAAGUGAAACAGUUUGUCAGUCUUGCUCUGGAGCUACCCCUUUCUUAGUAAACACUUGAUUUGCUAAUGCUCAGUUACAGAAUAGGAUCACCCAGUUCCCACACCUGCCCUUACCUCUUGCACUUUAGCCACCCCUCCUGUCAAUGCUGCCCCCUCUAGUCCAUUACCAAUGCCCCCCUAUUCUCCUACUGCCUUGCUAGAAAAGUUCCAGCAGGGAAUAUCUGGGACAAUUUUAAACCUUGCCCUCCUCUUUGGUCUCACCAACCCUUGAGGGAAACCUAUUCAGGUCCUGAUACCUGACAGUUUCAAAUAUUAUAGAGUUAAGCUGCUUAUUAAUUGGGCUACAUGACCAAAGUUUCUGCCAUUUCAGACAGCUUCAGGCCAUUGUACUACAGGGUGCAACUUCCCCAGUGGCCGAAAAGCAUCUUGAUAUGUGCCGUUAUGAUCAGAUAUAGGCCAUGCUUUCCAUCUCCAUUUUGUAUUAGAUCAGAGUAGGUCCUGGAUUCAGUGUUGUUAUAUAAUGGAUAUCUACAUUUAUUUUUCCUCAAAGAGAUCUUAUUUUAGGGGGAGGAGAGGAUUAGCUUACAUCCACACCAAUGGGUAUGCAUGUGUAUUAUAGGUGAUGUUAAACAAAGAGCAAAAAUCUGACAUUAAAUUGGUUCAGUGUAAACCAGAGCAGCCCCAUGAAUUGUGGGUCCUGCUUCAACUUCACAAUUGUAUCUUUCCUGACUGAUCCAGGAAAGUUAAUCCUUUGGGUCAAAGGGAUAGAAAGCAGAGAUAUUUUGAGCUUUUGUUUACACUGAGCAUUUAGCAUAUUAUGCCCUACAUUAAUCUAACCUUGGACAUUAGCUAGAAUAUGUACAAAUGGGCAAGGAAGAUGAUUUGAUGGCCCUUAGGGAGUUUUCAAGUGUUUUCUUCCCACUGCUGGGUUCCCCUAUCUCCAACCUGAAACAAAUAGGAAGUUGGUUCCCUGAAGUUUUGGUUAAAUAGAGUUUAUUUUAAAGGGCUAUAUGAGUGUAAAUUGUUAAUAACAUAGAAUAGAAGAGGUCACGCUGGAUAGAUAAGUAGUUCCACCUGGGCCUUAAAACCUCCAUCUUUAAGGAGAUCAAAAUGUGUUGGGAAAUGCCUAAAAAUAGUUUUAACUCCCAAGGGAUCUUACAAACAACUGAUGUAAGUCAAGCUUUUACCAGAACUCACCAAGUAGCCCAGGUACGCUGAGCUUUUCUCCAGCCACAUCCCAAGGGGGUUUUGGAAAUGACCUAGGCUUUAGGACAGAGCAGUCACUCAGGGGCACAUAAUGGACCUAGGAUACUGAUACCCUGACUUAAGCGUAGGCUACUGGGCCCCUGUUCUGAUAGGGACACUUCUCCAUACAAGGAGUCACUCAUUUUCACCUGUAGGAAUUCCCAUGCUGGCUGUUUCUGUUUUUCUUCCAGCUCUCCCAUUAGUUCUUCAAGAAGGGAUAUUUCCUGGGAUGCUUUCGUGAUGUAGUCUUCUUUGCUUCUGAAAAUGGUUUUGGAUAGUUCUUCCAACCAGACCAAGAAGAGUCGCUCUUGUUUCUCUAGAAAGUCAUGUAACUCCUUCAGUUGAGACAUUAUCUGCAUCUUCUGAGUUUCUGUCUUGUUCUGACAGCAACAAGAUUAGGAGAACAGGAGGUCAGGUAGUUUAGGGAUAGCUAGGGAACAUUACCUGCUUGAGGCUUUCACUAAGAGGAGGACCAUUGGAUUCAUUUUCCCAUCACUAUGGUUUCCUGGAAGGCCCCAAAGUUUAGAGGAACUCUGGUUAUGUGCUAGGAAUUCCCAUUCCUCAGGAUGGGCCUGCAGGCAGUUUCUUUUAUUUCCCUAGGGGUCUUUUUGAACAUGAAUGAUAUGUGAAUGUGUUUUACUUGACUGCAUAUAUUUAGUACAAGUAUUAUUUUUUCUUUAUCUUAAGUGGAAGUAGGGAUGAAAGGGAGAAAAAUAAAAAUAAAAUGUAAGAGCAAAUCAAAUUAUACUAUGCUUACUGCUUGCUCAUUUUCAGUGUGAACAUUUAUACCUCAGAAAUCAACAGAUGCACAGGGCAGCUGGGUGGCUCAGUGGAUUGAGAGCCAGGCCCAGAGACAGGAGGUCCUGGUUCAAAUAUGGCCCCAGACCCUUCCUAGCUGUGUGACCCUGGGCAAGUCACUUAACCCUCAUUGCCUAGUCCUUACCAUUCUUCUGCUUUAGAACCAAUACACAGUAUUGAUUCUAAGAUGGGUAAGGGUUAAAAAAAAGAAGAAAGAAAGAAAUCAACAAAUGCUACAAUUAGGGCUUGAUUUAUUGUCUGGUUGGCUAAACUUAAUAAAAUUAUAAAGAAAAUGAGAAAAAUGCAGAUUAGAGGGAUCUGAAUUCUUCCAUUGCCUUCUCUAAAGCUCCAGGAAGUCCCAUCUGUAAAGCUAGGGCAGACCACAAGGGUGCAAUGACACCAUGAAUUUCCUAGCUAUUAAGGAAUUCUCAUGACUCAAUCUACCCUUGAGAAUGAUCUUUCCACUUGAAGAUAUAAAAGGAAAAAGCAACUGCUUUUAGAAGUUUUCCCCAAUUUUCUUGACUACCAAUAAAAGCUAUCUUAUUUUUAAGUUCACUUCAUUUCCCCAGGAAUAAGGGAAGAAUCUCAGAAGGGUUCAGGUCCUAUUUCUACUCUGAUCUAGGAGCAAAACCUCUCCAUAUAGUUUCCCUCUAGUAUCCUGAGAUGUCCCCAGACUUACCAAGAAGGCUGUAAUUGUCUUAUUUCCUUGUGAUUUCUUCUCUUCAGCUGUUUCUCUUACUUUCUUAAGAUGCUCCAACUGGUUUUGAAUUUGUUCCUGGUUUAAAUUUUUUUAAAUGUUGAAAUUAGAAUUAAGGCUUCAUUCUUUAACUCACUGCAAUAUAAGAACUACUUAAAUGAACAGGAGCAGUAACAUACCUUUAAUAUGUGGGGCCCUUAGAAAAUCAGCGCUAAAGCAAUUAUUUUAUAUAAUGUAUUCAUUGGGCAAAGAUGAUAUUUCUAAGGCCCACUAAACCCACGUGUCUAGGAUAAAAUGUAUGCCAGAGGGGUGUAGAGAGAAUGAGAAUGACCACUAAGUGAUAAAGAUAAGGGCAAAAGUUUUUACAGAAAAAAGUAAGAUGAGGGAGUAGGAGCUAGAGAAGAAUGGUAGGUUAGGAAGGGACCUUAGAGAUUAUCUGGUAUAAGCCCCUUAUUUUUCAUUUAAGGAAACAGGCUCAGAAAGGUUAAGUGAUUUGCUCAUGGUCACUUAGACAUUAGUUGGCAGAGUCAGAAUUGGAUCCCAGCUCCUCUUGCUCCAAAUCUAGCUCUUUUUCCAUCAUGUCAUUCUGAGGAAACUAGGAGCUGGGAGGAAGAAGAUGCAGGAAUAGUAAGGAUUCAAUUUUUUUUUAGUAUGUUUUAAGAAGUUAGGAGCUUUGGUAAUAGAAGUCUUGUGAACUGAUAAAAUAAAUUGUGAUUCUUUAGUAACAAUCAGUAAGCACUGCUCCAAUUCAUUCCUCUCCUUCCAUGCUAGAUAGAACUCUGAGUUCUUUUCUUAGGAAUAUCCAGAAAAAGAUUUUUGGAUUACUUAAGGGUAACAACCUGGGCUUUAUAACCAAUAUGGGCCAUACUUCAUAGAACUUCCUAAUUUUCCUGGUACACAAGUCAAAACACUUCAUUUCCUCACUCAAAAACUUUCCGUUUCUCCCAAAUGCUUUCCAAUUAAAAUUACAAACUCCUUAGUCCAGUAUUCAGUGCCCUUUAGAAUUUGACUCAAUACUAGUGGUUCAGUCCUAUCUAAUAUCAUUCCCCUUUAUCACUCUGUUCCAACUAAAGGAGACUAGUUAUUUUCCAAUCUUGUCCUGACUUUUCUUUGCACACUGUCUCAUAUGCCUGGAAUUGUUCCCUUCCUUGACUUCAUCUCCACCAGCUGAAGUUUUUUGCUUCCUUCAGAGAACAUCUCCUUUAUGAACUUUUUCAUAAUCUCCCAAGGUAGAAGUAAUGUCUUCCCUCCUACAGUUCCUCAUCACACUUGAUAGGGACCUCUCCCAUGCAAGUAUCAUAUUAUAAUUUUUAUGGUGGUUAUUUAUGUAUUUGCUUUACCCUUUCUACUAAACCAUAAACAAGACUGUGUCUUGUUUCAUUUGGGCAUUGCACAUAGUAGGCAUUUAAUAGAUGUUGGAUUAAAAGAUUUGUUAAAUUGUUUAUUCCUGUGCUGCUUUAUUAUGUACAAAGUACUUCCUUCCAACAUCAUUGUAAAGUAUUAUUGUACCCAUGUGAUGGAUGAGAAAAUUGAGAUUGGAGAGAUCAGGUGAAUUACUCAAGAUCACAUGGCUGCACAUUGUAGAGACAGGACUCAAACCUAGGUCUUCUGACUUUCAAUCCAGGUUUCUUUCUACUAUACUAUGCUGUCUCUAUAGUCCUAUUCUAGGCACUGUCUAUAUUAUUUCCUCUAGAUAAAUUCUUCAGAAUAUAGGUUUUCAAAGAUCUCAGAGCGGAUUCCCUAAAGGUCCCUUAUCUCUAGGAUGUAAGAACCCUAAAAGGGAAAGGGGGAUUUGAUUAAUUAUCUAUGGGAAGGGUUGAUCUUGAGGAAAAUUGGGCAGCCCCCUAUGAGAUAUGAUUUAAGAGGUAACUAGAAGGCUCUUAUAGCAAAAAAUCUGGCCUUCCAAUGUGUUUGGACAAUUAAUGUUGUGGCUCUGUUUUCAGGUGUAGGUAGCAGCAGAGAGACCAAGUUGUUGUCAGUCAUCAAUUUUUGAAUGUGAAUGAGUUCAUUUCAUGUUCCCCACUGCUUAUUCAUCAAAUCUCAACUUCUAUGCCGGUCCUUUAAGAUGCUCCAUAAUUUAUCAUUGAGUUCCAGUCAGUUCUAAUUUUAGCCCUUUGCUUUUAUUUGUUUAAAAAAAAAACUUUCAAUUUUAUGUAAAUCAAACUGUCCAUUUUAUCUUCCAUGACCUCUUUUUCCCUUAUUGGACAUGAAAUUUUCUUGAAUCCAUAGAUCUGAUAUAUUACUAUUCCUUUCAUUUGUUUAAGAUGUCUCCCUUCAUGUCUAAGUUAUGCAUCCAUUUGGAAUUUAUGCUGGUAUGUGUUGUGAAACGCUGGUCUAUAUUUAGUUUCUGCUAGACUGCUUUCCAAUUUUCCCAAUAUUUUUUGAGGGAUACUGGGUUUCUGCCCCAAUAUCUGGGAUCUUUAGGUAUGUCAAACACUAAGUUACUAUGCUAUUUGCUUGUAUAUAUUGGGUACCUAAUCUUUUCUACCCAUCGAUUUAUUUAUUUCUUAACUAGUACUGAAUGAUUUUGACAACUACUGAUUUGGGACUAAAUAAAGUGGAAGAAGGAGCUAAGAAGGAGACAAAACAAAUACUCAUUAAUAAAAAAAAAAUAAAUAUGAAAAAAGAAGGGGAGAUCACCAAAGACAAGCUUGAUCUUUUCACCAAAUUUUCUGAGAGUCAAUUCUAUUCAUACACUAAAUUGAAUGUUAAGCUCCUUUUUUAAAGUGGUUGCUGAAAGGAGAAAAUGAAUAUCCAUCUUCCAUACACAAACUCAUCCCAGGAGUAUCCCCAGUUAGCUAUGUGGAAGGAGAUCCAGCCUUCUAGAGGCUCCUACCUUGUAACUCUGAGCAGCCUCCUCUAUGGGAAGCAUUCGAUGACCUCUGUGCUCCGGGGACAUACUGCAGAUGAGACAAAUGGUUUUUCCAUGAUCCUUGCAGAACAGCCUUUGGAGCUGCUUUGGAUGACAUUCACACUGCGGCAUGGAUUGAGGGUUUAGUUUUGGCCCCCGGUAGUCAGUAGGUAUGUUUUCUAGGCUCCUGCUGUGUUGGAAAUUCUUAGGAAACAUGGCUUGGCAUUUGAGGCAGACAUUAUGCCCAACAUUGUAAUGGGAUCUGAUGUGGUUCCCCCAGGAAAUCUUUGAUGGGUUUACCACCAUGGCCUGACAAAUGGAACAUGACUCCUGUACUCUCCUCAGGGAUGCUGCUCUGCAAGGGGCUCCUGUGAUCCUCAGGAGGUUGAAGGCUUCAGUGGGUAUUCUUCUCAGUCUUGGCUCAUCUGAAAGAAUUAGACCCAAGGACUAGAGGGACUAUUGUUUGCUUUUCAAGUUUUCUUCAAGCUCUAACAUUCUAUGGUCUAUGUUCAUAGCAUCACAGGAUUUGGAACUAGGAAAAUCCCUUAGAGAUUAUCUAUCCCAGAGGUUCUUAAAUAUUUUUGGGUUAUGGGCCUCUUUGGCAAUCUGCUAUAACCUACAGACUCCUAUAUUUAAAAAAGAGUAACAAAAUACAAGACAACGAAGGAAACCAAUUAUAUUUAAAUAUUAUCAUCAAUAUAUUUAAUCCCACACUAAGAAAUCCCUGAUCUGGGUCAAUUUCGUCUUACAGAUCAAGAACUAAAGAGGUUGAUGAAGUGAUUUGUCCACAGUCAAACAGUAAAAGAGCCAAAAUUUGAACCCAGAUCAUCUAACUUAAGAUAUAGUCCUUUCCCCACCACCUGUUAUGGUCCCUUUUAAUCAUGACCCCUGUAGUCUGUAUUCUAAAAUCCCUUUCAGUUCAGACAUUCUACUUGAAAUACUCUAGUGUCCUUUCUGGGUCUCCCAUGCCAAGUUCUUCAGAUUCCUUCUACUCUGAAUUCUCUCCUCUAAGGUUCUAAAGGGGAAGAGACCAGAUGAAAAAGAUGAUGUUUAUUGCCUUAAAAGCACAAAAGCUGAGAGAAGAAAUGAGGUCAUAAGAUAAAAUAAAUGAGUUAACAUAAUAAUAAAUAAUAUUAAAUAACUGAACUAAAAUCUGAACUAAAUAAGUAAAAUAACUGAGUCAUAAGCUAAAGGAGCUGGUGCUGACUGCUGCUAAGUUCCUCAUAACCUUGGCCAAGGUACUUGGCCAUGUACAAAAUACUCCUCUCUGGGCCUGGGUUUAUUGAAUCUGCAAAAUGAGUAAGUUGGCUUACUCAUUAUUCUUACUCUUUUUUAAUUUUUUUUUAAGACUUAUCUUAGAAUUCUUAGAAUAGAUACUGGAUAUAGGUUCCAAGGCAGAAGAACAGUAAAGGCUAAACAAUUUGGUGUUAAGUGAUUUGCCCAGGGUCACACAGCUAAGAAGUAUCUGAGGUCACAUUUGAAUCUAAGACCUCCCAUCUCCAGGCCUGGCUCUCUAUCCCCUGACUGUCUGCAAUAUCAAAAGACUUUUACUGAGGGAAAGGCCCCUAGAGCUCAUUUAGUCUUACCUGUAGAGGUUUCAAGGUAUCUGUGAACAAGGCUAGGAAAAAAAAAAUCUAUCUUUAUUUUUACAAACCUCUAACAAAUCUUGUACUUCCCUCAAUUUAUGAAUGUAGGCAACAAUUUUGAGAAGAGAUCAUGGGUUUUACCAGACUUUCAAAGGCAUUCAUGAAAUAAAAAUGAGUAGGGGUAGUUAGGUAGUUUAGUGGAUGGAGAGCCAGGCCUAAAGACAGGAAGUCCUGGGUUCAAAUCUGGUCUCAAUACUCCCUCACUGUGUGACUCUGGACAAGUCACUUAACCCUAUUGCCUAGCCCUCACUGCUCGUCUGCCUUGGAACAAGUAUAUAGUGUUGAUUCUUUUUAUUUUUUCAUAGUAUUGAUUCUAAGAUGGAAAGUCUGAAUUUAAAAAGUCUUUGAAUAUCCCUAGGAAUCAAGUUUAUAAAAUCGUGGAGAGGGGCGCAGCAUGAUGUCAGGGAGAGCUAGUCUCUGUGUCUGGAAGACCUUCUUUCUGUGCCACAGUCUAGCUGUAUGGCUCCUGGAAAAUCAUCUAACUUCCCAACGACAUGAUCCAGGCAACUCUCUCAGGUUAAACGUUGCAGGACAGUCAUUCUUCUGCAUUGACAGAAGGAGCUUUCUCACUUGGAGUUCCCCUAUAACAAGGAAGUCACGAGUCUGGACAAAAAACGAAGACAAUCAAAUUAUGAAAAUCACGGAUAAGGCACUGGGAUUUCAACUGGGAAUUCAAACCAAGACACAGAGGCAGCUGGAUUGCUCAGUAGGCAGACACUGGAUUUGGAGACUGAUUAUAGAUCCUGCCCCAGGAACUUAUUAGCCCUGUGAUUCUGUCAGUACUUCAUUACUCUAAGCCUGGGUUUCUUCAUUGGUGAAAUAUGGGCCAUAAUAGUGACACCUAUUCUCAAGGUUAUUGUGAAGAUACAGCCUUUUUUUAAACCUCAAAAGUACUCUAUAAAUGCUAGCUGUUAAGAAAGAGAGCAGCGCACAGAAUGGUCUUUUUUUGUUUGUAUCAUAUAAGUCAAUCUUAUCCAAAAGACUAAUUGCUAUAAUGAACAUGUUCUUAUCAUAGUAGAUACAUUUUUAUGGUGAAUUAAGUUGUCCUUCUCUAUGGCAGUUACAGUGAAAACUGUUGAAAGACUAUUGUAAUCAAAUUGCUGAUAACCACCAAACAGCUGCUUAAAGUCAAGCUCAAUGCUGAGUUCGAGUAUAAAAAUCCCAGCACAGACAACCCUGAAAGAUUAAUUAUGGGGAAUACUAUCCACCUCCAGAGAAAGAGCUAUUGAGUCGGCUCUCACAUCAGUGUGUCUUUGGUUUUAUUUGGGGGUUUUGGUUCUCUAUGAAUGUGCUCUUGCCAACAUGGAAGUGCUUUACAUGACAUUAAAAAAAGAAAAAAUGAGAUGAAAAGUUUUUAAAAUAAAAAUCCCAAUGUAAAUUAAUUUUUUUGCUUGGGUUGGAGACAAAGGAAUAGGUUGACUACUACUACUACUAAUCUUUUCCCUGUCCAAAGAAGAGCAUAUACCAUUCGAGAACAAAGAGAUUGUAUCUUUUGAUAGAAUGUCUAUUAUCUCCAGGACAAAAUAACCAUAUAUUGACUCUUUAAUUCCUGAAUGCCUUCCUGGAAAGAACUGUGAAAGCUUUAACUGGGAAUGUUUUUGUCCAUGAUACUCUUAAGAAGACCAAAAUGCCAUUACUAGUGAUACCUUUUGACGUGUGCAUAAAUUGAAUUUAAACAAGGCAGAGCUGCACAAAGUUGUCAGCCUCAUUCUCUCUUCCAGAGAGCCCUCAAAGUCCGGUGCCAAGUAAAGUCAAGACAACUGGUGAUUGCAUAGGAUACAGGGGAUGACCUUGGCUUCUUUGAUGGCUAAUCAAGCUCUAAGUGCUCCACAGCUCCUGCUUCCACUGCCUUCAUAGUCAUUAGAAAAAACUGUUCCAACUGGAAAUGUAACAUGUGUUGUGUGGAAUAGCUAGCUGCAUUUAUUGAUGCUCCCUUCCUCAGGGGUCAGAACUGUAUUUUUUAAGAAGGUAUUUGUUAAGUAUAUAUACUGACAUAAAAUGUCUUUACGGGUAGAUUUGAUGAAUGUGAAUAAUGAUUCUCACGAAAUGAUCACAUCAUUUCAAACUCACACUGUAUAUUUCUAUUGGACUGGAAUGAAUUACCAUAUUUUACAUAAUUAUAAUUCUGAAUUGUGACUAC